UAAGUAUCUUUGUACAUAUCUCUCAGGACAUUUAAAAAAGAAAUAGUAUCAAAAUCCUUGGAAAAAUCUCCACAACAGGUUUAAAGCUAUAAAGUUUUCAAUAAUAGUACAAACAUAUGAUCACUAGUGCGUGCCCUUUAGCUGAAAACCUAUUUGUACAUUGUGUAAAAUAUCAUUUUUAUCCAAAUAUUCUGUAGUCUGUUAUGUAAAUUUGUUAAACUAUAAUUCACCAACCUGGAGAAAACAUGCUUUUUUCUGUUGUAGUAAUCCACAAAUACUUAAAUAACGAUAAUGUUCCAGUUUUAAAGGUUUAUAUUAUACAAAGUAAGAACGGGUUUUUCCAAAUACAGUAUCAAUUAAAUUUUACAGGUAUGUUAAUUUUUAAUCUAAGUUACGUCAUGUGACUUGCGAGAUUUUACGAUACUUUGCACUUCCGGGUACAAACAAAAAUCAACAUUGCUAAUCUAUAUUUGGUAUAUUUGUAUGCCAGUGGGAACGGAAAUUGACAGACAUUUUUUGUUUUAUAACGAAAUGCAAAUGGUUUCAUCUCAAUGAAAGACACUACGUAUAAUCUUCAGGUAUAUAGACUGAGGACAGUGGUGCUGUGAAUGAGGUCAGUAUCCGAUGUAACUUGUAGGAAUACAAAUGACAUGAUGUAGCUGCUGCAUAAUCGUUUUGGUAUGUGAUUCUAUGAUUGGAUCUGGAGUACUUGUCAUGACUCUUGAAUUAUUUUGGAGUCUUCACUACCAGAUAGAAACCAGCUUGUGAUACCACCAGACACAGUUGAAAGGAAAUGUCAUACACAUCCAUGGACAAGACAAUGGUAGAGACAUGGCAAUCCAUUACAGAUUUUGACUGAAUUAAAGCUUCUUAUAG